UAUUGGGCGUAAGAGCUCGUAGGCGGUUUGUCGCGUCUGCUGUGAAAUCUGGGGGCUCAACCCCCAGCCUGCAGUGGGUACGGGCAGACUAGAGUGCGGUAGGGGAGAUUGGAAUUCCUGGUGUAGCGGUGGAAUGCGCAGAUAUCAGGAGGAACACCGAUGGCGAAGGCAGAUCUCUGGGCCGUAACUGACGCUGAGGAGCGAAAGCGUGGGGAGCGAACAGGAUUAGAUACCCUGGUAGUCCACGCCGUAAACGUUGGGAACUAGAUGUGGGGACCAUUCCACGGUCUCCGUGUCGCAGCUAACGCAUUAAGUUCCCCGCCUGGGGAGUACGGCCGCAAGGCUAAAACUCAAAGGAAUUGACGGGGGCCCGCACAAGCGGCGGAGCAUGCGGAUUAAUUCGAUGCAACGCGAAGAACCUUACCAAGGCUUGACAUAUACCGGAAACGGCCAGAGAUGGUCGCCCCGCAAGGUCGGUAUACAGGUGGUGCAUGGUUGUCGUCAGCUCGUGUCGUGAGAUGUUGGGUUAAGUCCCGCAACGAGCGCAACCCUCGUUCUAUGUUGCCAGCACGUUAUGGUGGGAACUCAUAGGAGACUGCCGGGGUCAACUCGGAGGAAGGUGGGGAUGACGUCAAAUCAUCAUGCCCCUUAUGUCUUGGGCUUCACGCAUGCUACAAUGGCCGGUACAAAGGGCUGCGAUACCGUAAGGUGGAGCGAAUCCCAAAAAGCCGGUCUCAGUUCGGAUUGAGGUCUGCAACUCGACCUCAUGAAGUCGGAGUCGCUAGUAAUCGCAGAUCAGCAACGCUGCGGUGAAUACGUUCCCGGGCCUUGUACACACCGCCCGUCAAGUCAUGAAAGUCGGUAACACCCGAAGCCAGUGGCCUAACCCCUUGUGGGAUGGAGCUGUCGAAGUGGGAUCGGUGAUUAGGACGAAGUCGUACA
rnacentral:rRNA from 2 species